rnacentral:rRNA from 1 species
GAUGAACGCUAGCGGCAGGCUUAAUACAUGCAAGUCGAGGGGCAGCAGGGGUGUAGCAAUACACUUGCUGGCGACCGGCAAACGGGUGCGGAACACGUACGCAACUUACCCUGAACCGGGGGAUAGCCCGGGGAAACCCGGAUUAAUACCCCGUAACACUGUGAGGUGGCAUCACCUUAUAGUUAUAGCUCCGGUGGUUCAGGAUGGGCGUGCGGCUGAUUAGGUAGUUGGUUGGGGUAAUGGCCCACCAAGCCUACGAUCAGUAACUGGUGUGAGAGCACGACCAGUCACACGGGCACUGAGACACGGGCCCGACUCCUACGGGAGGCAGCAGUAAGGAAUAUUGGGCAAUGGAGGCAACUCUGACCCAGCCAUGCCGCGUGGAGGAUGAAGGCCCUCUGGGUUGUAAACUUCUUUUACCUGGGACGAAACCUUUCUUUUCUAAGGGAGUUGACGGUACCAGGGGAAUAAGCACCGGCUAACUCCGUGCCAGCAGCCGCGGUAACAC